GGAGAGGGAGAGGAGGAGGCGGUGCCGGAGCAGAGAGCCAGUGCUGGCUAGGCGCGGGCUGCAGAGUGACGGGAUGUGUCGGUGUCGGGGCGCAAGGCUGGCGGGACUGGCCACGGUGCUCCUGGUGGCUGUGGGCAGAGCGCAGGUGCAGCAGGACCCUUCGGCAGAGACCAUCGAGGGCAUCGCCAUCAGCAUCAACUGCUCACAUCCCAACAUAAAGACAAGCGACUACAUCUACUGGUAUCGUCAGCUCCUGGACCGAGGUCCCGAACUCCUCGUGUGGGGUACUAAAGGCUCCAGACCUCUGUCGGACCCGCCAGGACGGUUGUCGGUGGCGGCAGACCGCCGGUCCAGCGCCCUGUGGCUCGAACGGCCCCGGCGCGGGGACGCGGCGGUGUAUUACUGCGCCGUGGGAGACACGGGGAGAGGAGCCGGGGCUGCGGCCGGACACGAACCGCCGCGGGCGGGGUCGGGUGGGUUUGGGGGGGAGCGGGUGAACAACACCGGUCGGAUCCGCCAGGGAGCGCUGCCGCUCCACCCGCAGCUGCCGCCUUGUCCCGCGGGCUCCGGGGCGGUUCCGUUGCCCGAGCGGCACCGGCACCAGCUUCAGCAUCAACAUCGGCAUCGCCAUUGACAUUUCCGUUGUCACCCCCCGCGGGACGGAGACAGACAUACCCCGUCACAUCACGGUGGAAUCGUGACCGGAGCAGUGUCGGUGUCCGGUGGUGGCCGGGAAAGAGCGACUGCAGUCGCCGGCCCCGCCGGCUCCCGGCGAGGAGCAGCGACAUUCUGCUCUGCAGAGUGGGGCGGGCAGAGAGAUCCUCCUGCCCACGGGCAGCUGCACAGCCCUUGCUCCUGCUGCAAUGACCCUCCCAUGGAACACACGGGAGCUCUUCUUGGGCUUUUGGUUUUCCCCAGCAGCACAGCCAAGGGACCGCUGAGCAGGUGCUUUCCUCUGCUCUGUAAACACAGGGACUCCUGUGCUAAAGUGCUAAUGCAAAACUUGACUUAGAAAACAACAAGCAGAAUGGGUUUCAUGUGUUGCUACUUUGUUAAAGCUCAGAUAUGCAAUUUAAAACUGUGUCCUCCAGCUACACACUUUCAGGGAGAUUUCAUACAUUUCCUGUUAGUGUUACAAAGUCAUUGCAUGGAGUUAGGAGCUCAAGCUCCACAUCAACCAGGAACAGGGGAUGUCAAGGUCACAGGCACCUUCAAACACUCCCCACAGUGGCUCAUUAUUGAGACCACGAGCUUGUGUGUCAGGAGUCAGAAGCUUGGCAGUUGAGGCCCAGGAGACAGCACAAAGCUUGCACUGGUCCCACUGACCGCAGCCCCAAGUGAUGCCAGGUUUCUACUUGAAGAGUGAGACAGAAAGACAUCGGCUAAGUUGCCCUGAGCGACUGGAGAUCUGAGGUGAGUGAGAGCUGGCAGGAGGCCUCUGGGAAGAGACUGUGGGCUCCAGCCAGUCCCCAGGGGCAUCUGUAUGGCUCGAGUAGCUGACAGAGCUGUUCACAGCCCAUGGUCAGAGGUUACAGAGGCACAGAGUGAAGGAUCAGCCCUGCUCUCUGUCACAGCUGGACUUUCUAACUGUGUUCCCAGGACAAAUAAGGCAGAGCAACAGACAUGGCCAGUCCAGCACACAGAUCUGCCACAUGCUCACAUGGUAUUGACCCCUCUUCUCAUUGCCUUCUUCUAUCUUCUCACACUUGCUCCCAGCCAAACUACCUUUUCUGGUCUCAGCUCCUUCCCCUAAACAAAGCAGGCUUGCAAAAUCACCAAAUGCUUUUCCAUUGCAUCCCGUAAUGAGGUCUGAUACUGAUGUAUUCAGAAACAUUGAUGAGUCUAUAUAAUGGUAUUCUCACCCUUCUGGAUGGCAUGAGAAGAUCACUACGGACUGUUCUCCCUUGCUGGGGGGUGGCUGGACUUUCUGUGAUCUCCAGGAGGAGCAAAAAGCUGUAGUUGAUCUCUCCAUAGGGCCUCUUCAUGGCAGAAGUGGGGACUCUCAAGGACAUCCAACUCAUUCCCUCCCAUCAGCUCUAUACACCCAUUCCAAGAUCCCCCCUGAACCCUCUCUUCCCCAAACUGGACACUGUCAGCCCUCUCAGCGUAUCCUCAUAGGAAAGAUGUUCCAGUCCCUGCACCAUUUUGCUGAUCUUGACACAGUAUCUUUCUUGUAUCAGGAGACCCAGAACUGGAGCCAGAGCUCCAGAGUUGGCCUCACCAGCAAUGAGUAGAGAGGGAGGAUCAGGUCCGUUGUCCUGCUGGUUGACUCUCUUCCCACUGCAGCCCAGACUGCUGUUGGUCUUCCUUGCCAUGAGGGUCCAUUGCCACAGCAGACACAGGAACACCUCAGAGCUGCUGAAACUGAGCAGGACACAGCAGUGAGUAUUCAGGAGAAGUAUCCCAGCUGCUUGUCCAGCUCUUACUCUUCCCUCCGCAUGCACCAAUGACCACUCUUGGAAAAGAGGACUCUUGAUAGAAGAUGUGACUCCUCCCGUGGUUUUACCUCCUUUCCAUAAAAAUCCCUAAAGAUAUAAAGUGUCCUCCUAGCCCUGCAUGUGGGGAUAAGUGAAAGCCUCAACGUGUGAGCAAGACCCGUCAGCCAGGCACUGGACAAGAGUUUCUGUUGAACGCCUUGAAUUGUUUCCCUGUUCCUCACAUGUCGCCUCCAGCUUAGGGACUGACCAGUGCUUUUCUGGGGCUGGGGUGGAGUCCCUGUGUCCCCGUGGGUUCUCUGCCCAACAGAAAAAUGCUGAUGGCUGUACUUCUAGGAUGUGUCUUUCUGGGAUCUUGUUUAGUCCAGGAACAGGAAACUUUCAGCAUUUUGAGGAACUCACUCACCUGAGCAAGUUCAGCAGAGGCCCCUGUAAGGGUGUGUGGAAUGUGAGAGCAGCUGGUUCACUAAGGCUGGCUGAUCAAGUCCCUUUUCCUUUCAAAGGGAAGAACAAGGAAAAGGGAAAGCAAUAAACAAAGCAUACAAUGACACCAGUCUCUCAGUAAUUGAUAAGGGACGCAGGGAAGGAGACCAGAGCUCUGCAGUCUCUAAUUGAUGAGCCAUUGGUAAACUGCAGGUGUAGAUUUGAAGUGGGACAGUCUGAGCUGUGUAAGUGACAGGGAGUGAGAGGAGCAACAUAAGGAUUCUGGAUGUAUGAGGGGUUUUUGCAG